rnacentral:rRNA from 1 species
UGCGAGGUCUCACAGUGCGAUGAUGGAGGAGCCGAUGGGGAACAUAGUAUACCAGGGCGAGAGAUGAAAUGCCAAGACCCCUGGUGGACUGAGCGAGGCGAAGGCGAUGUUCUUGUAGGCAUUCGGUGAUCAAGGACGAAGGCUGGAGUAUCGAAAGUGAUUAGAUACCGCAGUAGUUCCAGCAGUAAAAGAUGCCGACAUGCUCAUUGGACACAGUGGGCAGGGAGAAAUCUUAGAGUUCGGGCUCUGGGGAUAGUAUGCUCGCAAGGGUGAAAAUUAAAGAAAUUGACGGAGCUACACCACAAGGAGUGGAUUGUGCGGCUUAAUUUGACUCAACGCGAGGAAACUUACCAGGGCCAAGUAUUGUGUAGAAACGAGCAAUACAGGAGUGGUGCAUGGUCGUUGGAAAUUGAUGGGAUGACUUUGACCUUAAAUGGUUGAAUGAGUGAGAUCUUUUGGACAUGUUCCGCACGGAACAGGAAGGAAAAGGCUAUAACAGAUCCGAGAUGCCCUCAGAUGCCCUGGGCUGCACGCGCAAUACAAUAGCAGGUAGAGAGAGAGACAGGAAGGUGCUCAGAUGGACUAUGUGCUGUAAGGCACAUACGAAAGAGGAAUUCCUAGUAAGUGUGUAUCAACAAUG